UCAGUUUCGAACGUGAGCUUAUACGAGACGGUUCGCUACUUGUCGGCAGAAACGAGCAAUGCGGAAAUAGAAGAAUACAAGCAUACCUAAAAAGCAGAGAGCAGUUAAAAAUUAAAAAAAAUUAUUAACAAAACAAUAAACCUUAGAAAAAUUGUUAUUAUUUAUAAUACAAUGGUAAAGAAGAUUAAAAGCAAGCUGCAGCAAGACAACAAAUACUUGCCAACUACGAUACCAUAAAAAAUAAUUAAAAAGCCGAAGCCAGUGACUAGCAAGAGGUGGUUAAGAGGAAAUAAACGAUAAGUGGUGCCGGUAAAAAAUCGAACAGAAAAAGCACCAAUAAGAGACUGAGUGAAAAUUUUGAUAGCGGCCAAGCAUACCUUUCUGCUGAACAAAUAAAGACCAUGUGCUUGCGUGUGUGUUAAUGCGGUUAUUAGUCCGGCGGGUUAUAUCGCGCUCGCGAAAAAAGUCCAAACAGCGUGGGCGCAUACAUUUUAAUUAAACGCCCAGGCGCGUCCUUUAACAGCCGUUAGUGCUUUUUGUGUCUCAGUCCACGGUUUCCGUCGUCCAAUCAGCGUCAUCUUCAGCUAUAUCCGUUGAGACAAUGAAUAACAGAACAAGGAUCCGAAACAUGACUCUGGAAGAACAACAAAAUCACAGUCUCCGUAAAUUUCAAAGAUUUCCUUGCCCUCACCACAAAGCAUACACUAAUCGCAUGGUCUUAUGCAAAUAUUACAAAAUGAACCGCAGAAAGUUGAAUGGAAAUCGGGCUAAGCUCAACAAGGAGUCUACUCCGCAAGCGUAUGUGCAUUCUUGUGAGGACAUAUACUGGAACACGUAGUGUUGCCCACGGCGUAUGAGUAACAUACUCCCACAAAUAUGCGAAAUUUUGACUGAGAUAAUAUUGAAAAUAGUGUUUGAACAUAAAAUCAUGUUUUACCAUUUGCUGCAAUCUGCCAAUGUCACUUGGUAAAGACCACAGGUCGUCCAACCGUUUUGACACGCUAGCCAAACAGUGUGCAAAGCUGACCCGGCAAGAGGAACUCUGUCUUCACGCCCUGCUCGACUACUAAAACAGUCUCGAGAGAGCCGCCGAAAACGACUCCGAUCCAAUCAUCUAUUCAGUUUCGUGAUGAGAAAAAUCAAGUGCACUUGAUUGAUAUUUAAUUAAAAAGACACAACAAAAUAGGCAAAUUUUUCUGAAACGAAGCAGUACGAUCAGUCGCUGAAAUGCAAUUUUAUUCAAAUCUGAACAUGUCCGAGCGUCAGAUAGGGCAGGAAAAUUUCUAGAAUCCUUAUUAUUGGAAGGGAAAAGCAUAAAAAUGUCAAAACUCCGACAACUAACCUUAACUGACAUCCAAGGGCAGAUAAUGAAGAAAAGCGUACAAACUUUACCUCUGUUCCCUUCCCGCGUGGUAAGUCUUGCAAACAGCGGAUAUAACGAUGAGUGGAAACUCAAAUCCAAAGCAAUAAAGGAAAGUGUUAAAUCAGAAAGUGGAUAAAAAAAGAAUUCGCCGAAGUAAAAGGGGACAAAUCUAAGCAAUUCCAAUUACGCCCCAAGUACAAAUCUGCAAUUCACUUAGACGGCUAAGCGGCUUUUAGCGAAAUUUGAUGAUAUCGUUGGAUUUAAUACACUCACACUCUCAACAGGCACUUUGAAAUACGAUUUAUGUUCUUUUAAAUCCUCCUCCAUAGUCAGUCCUUCGGCAUCUUUCAACAGCGAGUCCUCUUAUGUAAUCUCCUCAUAGAAGUGCAUUACUUUAUUGAAAUUCAAGAGGACACUUCUUAAUAUGCGGCACUUUAAUAUGAACAUUUUUUAGGAAGGAGGAGUGUAACGGCAGACGAAAAAGCAAAUCGAUUGUAGAUCAGGGUAACUCCUUAACUUAGCUAUGUCGACCCAUUACAUACCUGAUGACAUCCUCAUGACCUCAAACGCUCAGGCACUUUGGAUGCUAAUGUGGCCGAUAUAAAAGAUAGCAACUAUACCAUUAUGGCUGCAACCUGAUUUACAUCUCAUAGCACAAUAGCAAUAAAUACUAUUUGGGUUUCGAUAUCUCGCCACUGUCGCGGAUAGACAAGCUAAUAUGUGAUGCGUUAUGAUGAGAAUCUUAAUUUCGAAGUCCACAUCAGUGAAAACCUGAGAUAGAAUUGCACGGAUUGAAAUUAAUUUUAUUAAUUAUAUUUUAAAUAAAUAUCUCAAGUUUUAAUGAUAAUAAAAGCGCAA